AUUGAACGCUGGCGGCAGGCCUAACACAUGCAAGUCGAGCGGAGCGGCGGACGGGUGAGUACUGCCUAGGAAUCUGCCUGGUAGUGGGGGAUAACGUCCGGAAACGGGCGCUAAUACCGCAUACUAUCAGAUCAGUCUAGGUCGGAUUAGCUAGUUGGUGGGGUAAAGGCCUACCAAGGCGACGAUCCGUCACCGGUCUGAGAGGAUGAUCAGUCACACUGGAACUGAGACACGGUCCAGACUCCUACGGGAGGCAGCAGUGGGGAAUAUUGGACAAUGGGCGAAAGCCUGAUCCAGCCAUGCCGCGUGUGUGAAGAAGGUCUUCGGAUUGUAAAGCACUUUAAGUUGGGAGGCGGUACCAAAAGAGUAAGCACCGGCUAACUACGUGCCAGCAGCCGCGGUAAUAC
rnacentral:rRNA from 1 species